rnacentral:lncRNA from 1 species
AUGUCCUGUUUUGCCAUGGACGAUGCAACCAUUUUUAGGUCGACCCUGGCAAAUCACACAAGGUUCAAUGGCAUUAAGGGGAAAACUAGACUCCAUACUUUCUUCUUUGUCUUGUGUGUCUUCUCUCUCAAACUCUUUGACAUCUUCUUGGCUACUAUAAAUGAUGCUAUUAGAAGUCGAUGGCUGAGAAUAGUCCUCACUUUCUUGAGACAGAGAAGAGAAAGAAAACACACACAUGUACACAUUUGCACACAGAUGUGUACACUUAUACACAAAAGACUGGAUAUUAUUGGCUAUCAAGUGAAGAUUGGGUUGAAUAUCCUGUGUGGAAAUGAAUAGAAAAAAGGCAAAGUCAAAUAUAAACAAAAGUUUAGUAGGUACUCUAUCAUAGAUUAAAUUUCUUUUCCUCCUUGAGCAAAAGGAACUAUUCUUGUAUAGGCAAAGCAAAGUGAUUAAACUAUUUGAACUUUUCUUUGGAGCAGAUCUCUUAGUUAUGCCAACAUAUAUCUGGUAGAGACUCUAUCCUGGGGAGAGGAGACUUUGUUCUAUACUAUGGAAACCAGCUUCUCCUUGUCUUAUAGAUCUCUUACAGGAGUGGGGAAGGGUGAUCCAUCAAUAUGGUUUAAGGAGUCUCUGAACAAAUCCCCAUAGGAGGGAACAAAAUAGGGUAUCUGAUGAUGUUACCAGAGCAAAGAGCCUAGUCCUAACUAGGCUCGUAGGCUAGUCCUGACUAAGCCCAGAAUUAAGAUGAGGAAGAGUAGGUGACCUUAAGUCUGUGAGGUGGUAGGUGCUAAAAAUUUACUGACUCAGACCUCUACAUGUUGCCUUGAACCUAGGAAGUGGCUGAGUGUAUGAGCUGAAAGAAUCGGUCUCUUGGGAUAAAGGUAUUAUAAGAUAUGGAAUACCUUCAACUGAGUUUAAUAUAUAUAGAAAAAUUUCCUUCAGGAUCAGUAGGGAAAGUGAAGCCCCACAGCAGUGGCUCACCUGAGACUGUCCCCAAGUCUCAAAACAAUAAAAACUUCCCCUUUAUUCUCUGUGUAUGUCUGCCUUCUCACUAGCGUUACUGGUCAUCUUGAAAGAAUGAAACAGAGCUCUGAGGGUGGCACACUGGCAAUUAAAUGCUCUUCCCUAGAGAUGACACGUCACUCCUCCCACCCACUGACCCAAACUAGUCACGUGGUGCCUCCGAACAACAACAGGGGCAGGAAAUGUCAUCAUACCGUGUACUCGGAAGGCAGCAGGAACAGAAUGAUUUGGCAAACUAUUGCUGUCAUUCAGUCACUAAGUCAUGCCUGACUCUUUCUGACACCGUGGACUGCACCACGUCAGCCUCCUGUCCUUCAUUAUCUCCCGGCGCUUGUUCCACCUCAUGUCCAUUGAGUCAGUGAUGCCAUCCAAUCAUCUCAUCCUCUUCUCCUCCUGCCCUCGAUCUUUCCCAGCAUCAGGGUCUUUUCCAAUGAGUUGGCUCUUCACAUCAGAUGGCCGAAGUAUUGGAGCUUCAGCUUCAGCAUCAGUCCUACCAAUGAAUAUUCAGGACUGACUUCCUUAAGGUUAGACUGGUUUGAUCUCCUUGCAGUCCAAGGGACUCUUAAAUGUCUUCAACACCACAAUUCAAAAGCAUCAAUUCUUCAGCACUUAGUCUUCAUUAUGGUCCAAUAAUCACAUCUGUACCUGACUACUGGAAAAACCAUAGCUUUGAUUAUAUAGUCCUUUGUUGGCAAAGUGAUGUCUCUGCUUUUUAAUACACUGUCUAGGAUUAUUAUAGCUUUCCUUCCAAGUAUUUUAAUUUCAUGGUUAUAGUCAAUGUUUACAGCGAUUUUAGAUUCCAAGAAAAUAAAAUCUGUCCAUUUCCCCUUCUAUUUGCUAUGAAGCGAUGGGACUGGGGAGGCCUUACAAACAGCUGUGAAAAGAAGAGAAGUGAAAAGCAAAGGAGAAGAGGAAAGAUAUAAGCAUCUGAAUUCAGAGUUCCAAAGAAUAGCAAGGAGAGAUAAGAAAAUCUUCCUCAGCUAUCAAUGCAAAGAAAUAGAGGAAAAUAACAGAAUGGGAAAGACUAGAGAUCUCUUCAAGAAAAUUAGAGAUACCAAGGGAACAUUUCAUGCAAAGAUGGGCUUGAUAAAGGACAGAAAUGGCAUGGACCUAAACAGAAGCAGAAGAUAUUAAGAAGAGGUGGCAAGAAUACACAGAAGAACUGUACAAAAAAGAUCUUCACCACCAAGAUAAUCACAAUGGUGUGGUCACUCACCUAGAGCCAGACAUCCUGGAAUGUGAAGUCAAGUGGGCCUUGGAAAGCAUCGCUACGAACAAAGCUAGUGGAGGUGAUGGAAUUCCAGUGAGCUAUUUCAAAUCCUGAAGGAUGAUGCUGUGAAAAUACUGCACUCAAUAUUCCAGCAAACGUGGAAAACUCAGCACUGGCCACAGGACUAGAAAAGGUCAGUUUUCAUUCCAAUCCCAAAGAAAGGCAACGCCAAAGAAUGCUCAAACUACCAUACA